rnacentral:rRNA from 1 species
UACCUUGUUACGACUUAACCCCAAUCAUCCCCCCCACCUUAGGCCGACGAAUCGGACUUCGGGUGUUGGCGACUUUCAUGGUUUGACGGGCGGUGUGUACAAGACCCGGGAACGUAUUCACCGCAGCUUGCUGAUCUGCGAUUACUAGCGAUUCCGACUUCAAAGAGGCGAGUUUCAGCCUCUUAUCCGAACUGAGAUUAGCUUUGAUGCGAUUUGCUCCACCUCGCAGCUUCGCUGCGCAUUGUACUAACCAUUGUAUCGUGUUUCUAGCCCAGGGUGUAAGGGUAAUACUGACCUGACGUCAUCCCCUCCUUCCUCCCCGUUACCGGGGCAGUUUGAAUAGAAAAAUACAACUAUUCACAAGGGUUGCGCUCGUUAAUGGACUUAACCAAACAUCUCACGACACGAGCUGACGACGGCCAUGCAACACCUGUCACUUGGCUCAAUAAAGCACUCUCGCCUUUCGGCAAAAUUCCAAGGAUGUCAAACCCUGGUAAGGUUCUUCGUUUAUCAUCGAAUUAAAGAACACGAUCCACCGCUUGUGCGGGUCCCCGUCAAUUCCUUUAUGUUUUGGCCUUGCGACCGUACUCCACAGGCGGGAUACUUAACGCGUUAGCUUUCCUACUGAGGGGGUCGAUACCUCCAUUAGCUAGUAUCC